rnacentral:siRNA from 1 species
ACUUGAGGACGUCGAUGC